rnacentral:rRNA from 1 species
CCUACGGGGGGCAGCAGUGAGGAAUAUUGGUCAAUGGGCGAAAGCCUGAUGGAGCAACGCCGCGUGGGUGAAGAAGGUCUUCGGAUCGUAAAACCCUGUUGUUAGAGAAGAAAGUGCGUGAGAGUAACUGUUCACGUUUCGACGGUAUCUAACCAGAAAGCCACGGCUAACUACGUGCCAGCAGCCGCGGUAAUACGUAGGUGGCAAGCGUUAUCCGGCUUUAUUGGGCGUAAAGGGAACGCAGGCGGUCUUUUAAGUCUGAUGUGAAAGCCUUCGGCUUAACCGGAGUAGUGCAUUGGAAACUGGGAGACGUGAGUGCAGAAGAGGAGAGUGGAACUCCAUGUGUAGCGGUGAAAUGCGUAGAUAUAUGGAAGAACACCAGUGGCGAAAGCGGCUCUCUGGUCUGUAACUGACGCUGAGGUUCGAAAGCGUGGGUAGCAAACAGGAUUAGAUACCCUUGUAGUC